rnacentral:rRNA from 1 species
CGCGGCCUAUCAGCUUGUUGGUGGGGUAACGGCCCACCAAGGCAUCGACGGGUAGCUGGUCUGAGAGGACGAUCAGCCACACUGGGACUGAGACACGGCCCAGACUCCUACGGGAGGCAGCAGUGGGGAAUAUUGCGCAAUGGGCGAAAGCCUGACGCAGCAACGCCGCGUGGGGGAUGAAGGCCUUCGGGUUGUAAACCCCUUUCAGCAGGGACGAAAAUGACGGUACCUGCAGAAGAAGCCCCGGCCAACUACGUGCCAGCAGCCGCGGUAACACGUAGGGGGCAAGCGUUGUCCGGAUUUAUUGGGCGUAAAGAGCUCGUAGGCGGUUGCGUAAGUCGGAUGUGAAAACUCAGGGCUCAACCCGGAGACGCCAUCCGAUACUGCGCUGACUAGAGUCCGGUAGAGGAGCAUGGAAUUCCUGGUGUAGCGGUGAAAUGCGCAGAUAUCAGGAGGAACACCAGUGGCGAAGGCGGUGCUCUGGGCCGGUACUGACGCUGAGGAGCGAAAGCGUGAGUAGCGAACAGGAUUAGAUACCCUGGUAGUCCACGCCGUAAACGUUGGGCACUAGGUGUGGGGCCUCCUUAACGGGUUCCGUGCCGUAGCUAACGCAUUAAGUGCCCCGCCUGGGGAGUACGG